UAUAUAUAUAUAUAUAUAUAGGUGGGCAGUAUAUGCAGUGUAUGUGUAUAUAUAUAUACACACACACUGCAUACUCUGCCCACCCAUAUAUAUAUAUA